rnacentral:rRNA from 1 species
UACGGAGGGUGCAAGCGUUAUCCGGAUUCACUGGGUUUAAAGGGUGCGUAGGUGGGCAGGUAAGUCAGUGGUGAAAUCUCCGGGCUUAACCCCGGAAACUGCCGUUGAUACUAUCUGUCUUGAAUAUAGUGGAGGUGAGCGGAAUAUGUCAUGUAGCGGUGAAAUGCUUAGAUAUGACAUAGAACAUCGAUUGCGAAGGCAGCUCGCUACGCUAUUAUUGACACUGAGGCACGAAAGCGUGGGGAUCAAACAGG